UACGUAGGGUGCAAGCGUUGUCCGGAAUUAUUGGGCGUAAAGAGCUCGUAGGCGGUCUGUCGCGUCGGCUGUGAAAACUCGGGGCUCAACCCCGAGCCUGCAGUCGAUACGGGCAGACUAGAGUGCAGUAGGGGAGACUGGAAUUCCUGGUGUAGCGGUGAAAUGCGCAGAUAUCAGGAGGAACACCAGUGGCGAAGGCGGCUCUGGGCGGU
rnacentral:rRNA from 1 species